AGCAGCCGCGGUAAUUCCAGCUCCAAUAGCGUAUAUUAAAGUUGUUGCAGUUAAAAAGCUCGUAGUUGAAUUUCGGGGUUAGUAGGUUGGUCAUGCCUCUGGUAUGUACUGGUCUCACUGAUUCCUCCUUCCUGAUGAACCUUAAUGCCAUUAAUUUGGUGUUUUGGGGAAUUUGGACUGUUACUUUGAAAAAAUUAGAGUGUUUAAAGCAAGCUAACGCUUGAAUACAUUAGCAUGGAAUAAUGAAAUAGGACGUUCGAUCCUAUUUUGUUGGUUUCUAGGAUUGACGUAAUGAUUAAUAGGGAUAGUUGGGGGCAUUAGUAUUCAAUUGUCAGAGGUGAAAUUCUUGGAUUUAUUGAAGACUAGCUACUGCGAAAGCAUGUUGCCAAGGAUGUUUUCAUUAAUCAAGAACGAAAGUUAGGGGAUCGAAGACGAUCAGAUACCGUCGCUAGUCUUAACCAUAAACUAUGCCGACUAGGGAUCGGAUGAUGUUAAUUUUUUAAUGACUCA
rnacentral:rRNA from 1 species